GCUGCGGGAGAGAGCAACAGGGAUUGCCUCAGUAACGGCGAGUGAAGCGGCAACAGCUCAAAUUUGAAAUCUGGCGCCUUCGGCGUCCGAGUUGUAAUUUGUAGAGGAUGCUAUUGGGUUGCCACCGGUCUAAGUUCCUUGGAACAGGACGUCACAGAGGGUGAGAAUCCCGUAUGUGACCGGCCAGGCGCCUUUUGUAUAGCUCCUUCGACGAGUCGGGUUGUUUGGGAAUGCAGCCCUAAAUGGGAGGUAAAUUUCUUCUAAAGCUAAAUACCGGCCAGAGACCGAUAGCGCACAAGUAGAGUGAUCGAAAGAUGAAAAGCACUUUGGAAAGAGAGUUAAAAAGCACGUGAAAUUGUUGAAAGGGAAGCGCUUGCAAUCAGUCUCGACGGCGGCUGUUCGGCCUCUCUUCUGAGUGGUUUAUUCAGUCGCCGCCGGGCCAGCAUCAGUUUUGGCGGCCGGAUAAAGGCGUGGGGAAUGUAGCUCCCUCGGGAGUGUUAUAGCCCCGCGUGCAAUACGGCCCGCCGGGACUGAGGUCCGCGCUCCGGUUAGGAUGCUGGCGAAAUGGUUGUAAGCGGCCCGUCUUGAAACACGGACCAAGGAGUCUAACAUCUACGCGAGUGUUUGGGUGUCAAACCCAUACGCGCAAUGAAAGUGAACGGAGGUGGGAACCGCAAGGUGCACCAUCGACCGAUCCUGAUGUCUUCGGAUGGAUUUGAGUAAGAGCGUAGCUGUUGGGACCCGAAAGAUGGUGAACUAUGCCUGAAUAGGGUGAAGCCAGAGGAAACUCUGGUGGAGGCUCGCAGCGGUUCUGACGUGCAAAUCGAUCGUCAAAUUUGGGUAUAGGGGCGAAAGACUAAUCGAACCAUCUAGUAGCUGGUUCCUGCCGAAGUCCCCCUCCAGGAUAAGAAAAA
rnacentral:rRNA from 1 species